GCCCGGGUGGCGGAACCGGCAGACGCGAGGGACUUAAAAUCCCUUGAGGCGAAAGCCUCGUGUGGGUUCGACCCCCACCCCGGGCA
rfam:Acidobacteria bacterium RIFCSPHIGHO2_02_FTLL_67_57 rifcsphigho2_02_scaffold_51749, whole genome shotgun sequence.